UAAUAUUAAUUUUAUUAAAAAUUGGUUAUUAUACGUCUACAAAUAAAUUAUAUGCUUGUACUGUUUAGUGAAUUGUUUGUGUAUUAGAAUGCCAGAACUAAAAUUGCUUUGCUGAAUUACCACGUUUUUAACGUAGAUCUGUUGUUAUUAUAUGACAUCGAUGAGCAUGUCUCCACCAAAAGAUCUCCGGUAUUUUGACAGAAACGUCCUUCCUUCCUGAGAAGUGUUAGUAGAUUGAAACAUUUAAUGCAUGGUUUAAACAGAAAUUAAAAUCAUAUACAACAAAAGUCUGUUUUUUUUUUUUUGGUUAUGUUAAACUUACCUUGGCAUCGAAUCCACUUAUUACACUGGUGACACUUUCCCUCAAUCAUGUACUUUUUAUUUGGCACCCCAAUCGCAUUCCUGGUUUUUCUAAGCCUUACCGUUCUAAACUCAAUUGGCGGUUGGUAUGGUCUUCCUUUGCUGUGAAUUCCGUGGACGAAAUUCAUGUGGUACCAAUAUGCGCUGGUCUUGGUACGUAGCCAAAUAAAUUCACCUUGAUGACUACAGAUUGGGCACAAGCCCAGCUUUGAUAUUCCAUGUCCACGAGUAAAUCUAGGAACAUAAAAGUCAUCUUUAGGAGCGCUUUUUGCAGUCACUUCAUCAGGAUAAUGUGGCAUAUUAUUUGGUACCAGACUGACAUCUGGCAAUUUCGUGUAAAAAUGGGGAAAUCUUGAAGUUAUAUGAUUUUCCAAAACCAUUUUACAUUGAACAAGGUGCUGCUGUGUGUAUUCCGUUGUCAAAACGGGGUUAAAUUUAUUGUUUAAAACCAUGUACGGUGUUUCGUUUUCCUUUGAAGCAUCAUUUGCCAUAUUAAAAUUGCAGAUUGUUUGACGUCUAUUGUUUGAAUGAUUUAAAUUUGAUGAGAAGGUUUGUAAAUCGUGUAGAGGUUCUGCAUUAUGAUGAGUAUACGGAGAAGUUUGAUUGACAUGGUUGAUGUUUAUUAUAGGACCAUCCAAAGCAAAAUCGUCUAAAUUAUCUUUAAAGAAAUCGGCAAAUUCAAAUGUUGCGCAAGAGUCUGAUGAGUCGUAUGGUUCGUCUGCUCCACCAUCGAUUAUUGUGUUUUUUGAAAGAGAGCAAGCAGAAGAAGGCUCUUCUAAGUCAGAUUGAUGGGGUAACUUUGAAUUUGAAAAACAUUUAGGAGUAUAAAACACGGAAUUUGGUUCAGGAACUUCGGAUAAUAAGGUGUUGUUUAAAUAUAUAAAAUUCUCAAUUUCG